UUAUAUUUUAUAUUGAACAAAAUACAAAUAAACAUAAUAUUAUUUUUUCUGUAGUUUUUUUUUUUUUUUUUCCCACUAGUUUUACAAUCUACCAAUAUNCACCGUCCAUUUUGAUAUAAUUUAUUUACUAAGUAAACGAUAUCGAAAAAAACUAAAAUUUUAUUCCUAAGAAAUUCAUAUACCAUAGAUCAUAUUUAACGGUGUGGAUCGUUGAUUUGAACGCCCUAAGAUCGAAAACCAACACUAUAGUACCGGAGCUCGGUAAUAUAGAUAGUAUAGUAGCCUAAUUCUAUAUAUAUAUAUAUAUAGAGAGAGAGAGAGAGAGAGAGAGAGAGAGAGAGAGAGAGAGAGAGAGAGAUAGGCUGAUAUACUAUUGGUAGCACGGAGGCCUCCGUGCUAUCAAGUUGUUUUCAAUGAUGCGGCUUCCAAAUCGACGAUCCGCUCCGUUAGACUUGAUAUACACUAUUGAAAAUAUUUGGAAACUAAAUUUCAUAAAUUUUCGGUGUCAUUUACCUACCAAACAAGUAGUCUAAAAAUAAAUGGCUGAAAAUAAAAAUCUCCUAAAAAAUGAUGAUAAAAGACUUGAAUUUAAGAUCAGAGGCACUGAUCUUACUCUAAAUAGUGAAAAAAAUUCUAUAAAAAUUUCAUCAUGAUUUAAAUUAUUUUACACCGUUAAAUUCACAAACAUAUCACAUCUACCAUUAAAAUUGUCAAUUUUAAGACCUUUUAAUCACUAGCCAAAUGAUGUUAAAAAAUUAUAAAAUUUAGUUUUCCAAUAUUUUUAAUAGUGUAGAUCAAGUCUAACGGAGCCGAUCGUCGAUUUGGAAGCCGCAUCAUUGAAAACAACUUAGUAGCACGGAAGCCUCCGUGCUACCGAUAGUAUACCAGCCUAACUCUCUCUCUCUCUAUAUAUAUAUAUCAAA
rnacentral:lncRNA from 1 species